rnacentral:tRNA from 1 species
GAGCUGGGGCUCAGUGGUAGAGUGCCCCCCUAGCAUGUGUGAGGCCCUGGGUUUGAUCCUCAGGACCACAUCA